UUACUGAGUGAGGGCGAAAGCCCGACCUCCAACCCUUUGUGAACCAACUCUGUUGCUUCGGGGGCGACCCUGCCGUUUCGGCGACGGCGCCCCCGGAGGUCAUCAAACACUGCAUCUAUGCGUCGGAGUCUUAAAGUAAAUUUAAACAAAACUUUCAACAACGGAUCUCUUGGUUCUGGCAUCGAUGAAGAACGCAGCGAAAUGCGAUAAGUAAUGUGAAUUGCAGAAUUCAGUGAAUCAUCGAAUCUUUGAACGCACAUUGCGCCCCGUGGUAUUCCGCGGGGCAUGCCUGUUCGAGCGUCAUUUCACCACUCAAGCCUAGCUUGGUAUUGGGCGUCGCGGUUCCGCGCGCCUUAAAGUCUCCGGCUGAGCAGUUCGUCUCUAAGCGUUGUGGCAUAUAUUUCGCUGAAGAGUUCGGACGGCUUUUGGCCGUUAAAUCUUUUUACAAGGUUGACCUCGGAUCAGGUAGGGAUACCCGCUGAACUUAAGCAUAUCAAUAAGCGGAGGAAAAGAAACCAACAGGGAUUGCCCUAGUAACGGCGAGUGAAGCGGCAACAGCUCAAAUUUGAAAUCUGGCGCAAGCCCGAGUUGUAAUUUGUAGAGGAUGCUUCUGGCCAGCGGCCGUUCUAAGUUCCUUGGAACAGGACGUCAUAGAGGGUGAGAAUCCCGUAUGUGACCGGCGCGCAGCCUUUACGUAGCUCCUUCGACGAGUCGAGUUGUUUGGGAAUGCAGCUCUAAAUGGGAGGUAAAUUUCUUCUAAAGCUAAAUACCGGCCAGAGACCGAUAGCGCACAAGUAGAGUGAUCGAAAGAUGAAAAGCACUUUGGAAAGAGAGUUAAAAAGCACGUGAAAUUGUUGAAAGGGAAGCGCUUGCAACCAGACUUCGUAGCGAUGUUCCGCUGGUCUUCUGACCGGUCUACUCAUCGUCGCGAGGCCAACAUCGUCUGGGGCCGCUGGAUAAGACCUAAGGA
rnacentral:rRNA from 1 species